CUGCACCAGAAGAAGAAGCAAGCGGUGCUGAUGAAAAUCGACAUCUCCAAAGCUUUUGACACACUCUCUUGGGGUUUUUUGCUGGAGGUGUUGCGGGCCAGAGGAUUUGGUGUUCGCUGGUGCUCCUGGAUCUGCGGCUUGCUGAGUACGGCUACCACCUCGGUGCUCAUCAACGGUGAGCUGUCGGCACCUUUUGCUCUUGCUCAGGGCGUCAGCUGGCAAGGUGAUCCGUUGUCCCCGGCGUUGUUCAUCAUAGCCAUGGACACUCUCCAGGGAAUGCUG
rnacentral:rRNA from 1 species